CCAGAAUGAAGAGCCGGUGCGAGCCGUCCCCGCUGUGCAGGGCACCGACAGGCUGGCGCAGCCCAUUCACCACCUCCUGGAUACAGAAGCAGUUGUGUUUGUGCUUCCUAAACAAGUUAAAGAAAACCGGUAAGCUUUUCUUGAGGUGAAGGAGGCAAAGGAUGCACUUAACAUCCUUUUCAAAAGGUACUUCCUCUAGGAAUCAAUGGUUUUGAGAAUCAGGAGGUUCCGUUAACCCCAAAAGUCACAACAGGACUCUUUUAAAUUGCUUUCAGUGGAACACAUAAAACAGCCUUCUACCAGAAAGUCCAAGAGAGAGUCAACAUAAAAAUGCUACAUCUUUUAAAAUUGCAGAAGCUCAUUAUCUUAUCUUUGAGUGACUAUAAUUAAAAUGAGCUUUACUCACAAUAAUUAAGCCUUACAGAAAGGCCCUCAGAGAGAAGGUUUUAAGAUCUAUUUAUAAAACUCUGAUUUGCUAAUGAUAAUUGUGCUGAAUAUUUCCAUAAGCUAACAAUAAGCAUAAAGUUCAAGUUUAAAACUGUAAUCAUUAAAUUCACAGGAAUCAUAGAGAAGCCAAACUCAUGAUAAUAAAAGAUUAGUAGUCUAAGCAUUAAACGCUUUUAAGGGAACAUGAUAUUAGAGAAGCAAACUAUCCAAAAGAAAGAAAAAAGCAUCUGGAGGAUAUAGCUGCUGGAAUCAAGCACAGAAACAGUUGAUUCACUAAUAAAACCGCAAGGUUUGUCAGUUGGUAUUUUGUUUUUGUUUUUUUAAAAUUAAAGAGCAUUUAUCUUUAUGAACCUGCUGAUCUCUUCCACUUUGUCAUAUUCUUCCAUCUGGUCCAAGUAGUUAGAUGCUGGUCCUCUGAUUUGUUUUCUUGGAAAAUCUGGAAAGCACAACCCACCAUCUCUUCUUGCAUAGUAAAAGCAAAACUCAUCAGCAGUAGUUUGAAGGAAACCUUUAAAGAAAUGCAAAAAGAUUCAUUAGAAAUAUUUAGUGUCACAGUAAAAAUAUCCUAUAUGAAAGAUAAAAUAGAGUAAGGGAUUUUUUAGAAAGUAAUGAAUAUUCUAGGAAAAUAAUAAAAAGAAUGAAAACUAAUUUUUUUUUUUGCUUGGGAUUUCUAUUUUUUUCAAAAAAUAUUUAAGAAUUUCACUUAAAAUGGAGUAAUAUUGCAUUGGCUAUUUUAAAAGACUCAUCUGAAAUACACAUAAUACAAAUCCAGCAUUAAUCUUGUUAUUGUUAUUGACUGUUUGCAAGAUUCUAUGGUAUGUAUGUUGUACGUUUAUCUGAUCACUAUUCAGCAUUUUCCCCCAGAGCAAAAAUAACUUAAGAAGAACAAAUUAGAAUGAAAGAAGAGAUAGGCUAUUAGGUGCUGAUUUUGGUCAUUUUACAAAUUUUUUUUUGUACUGUCGCUCACAUAUGAUUAAAUAAUAAAUCUAAUGAAUAUCACAAGGUCAUUAGAUGCUAUAAGUGACUGACUGGCUCACAGUAAUUGUGCUAAGAACAGAGUCUCCAUUUUCAAAUAUGUAGGUGCCUUUUUCCUACACCUCACUUUAUAUAAAAUAAUGAUUAUUUUGUAAAACAAAACUAUACUUAAUAUAUCCCUUCAAUCUUCUCAAUCAGAAAGCUGGUAUAUCACCCCUCACUGAAAAAAAAACAAACAAACAAGGAUAACAAGCCAAAACAAAAAUGCAAAAUAGACUUACUUAAGGAAGUCUGAAAGAAAGCUGUUUUCUCUUUUCUUACAUAUUAAGAAUUUUUUAUCAAAUAAAAACAGCUAUACUUGACUAAAAAAAGAAGAGGACUUGAUGACAAAAAAGAAUUUUGACAUUACUCUCACAAUUUGAGUCAUCAAGUAUUGGCUUUUUUUGUGGUGAAUCAUAAGAUUCACUUCCAUACCCUGAUGAUUUCUGCUCUCGGAAUAUGAUAUGGCUACCAGAAUCGACCUCAUAUGAUGUCCUAACUUCUUGCUUCUGGUGUCAUAUCUUUAUGCAUAAUGUUUUGAUUUUUUACCUAACAAAUUAGAUUACUGUACACCUAUCAGCUUUGUGAUAAAGGCACCUUAUAAUUUAGCUGAUAUUUAGAAGUGGUUAAUGGGUCCAGGUUUGCAAGGAUUUCUAAAAACAAGAAUUGGGGACCAAUUCUUAACCAAGUGAGACUUACCAAUGAAACAUGAAAGACUAAAAGUUUAUUUUCUAUGCCCUUGACCUAGGUCCUCUCAAACCUAAAACUAAUCUUAUAAUUCUGAGGAUCUUGGUGUAUGUUUUGACCUAACUUUUGAGUAAAAUGUAUCACCUCUAAAUUUCUGAGACAGACUCUUCAAGGCCAAUAUCUGACUAGGCUACUAAGAAGCAUCUUAUCCUUGGAAACCAGGCAAGUGAGAGCAGAUGUCCUUGGGAGUUGUGUGUGUAUAUGUGUGUGUGUAUGCGUGUGUGUGUGUAUGGGGGUAUGGGGGGUGAGACUGAAAGUAGGCAUAGUAGCUGGGAGGGGUGCUCCACACGAGGCGCAAGGCAGCUGCAAGGAGGUUAUCUUUCUUUGAAAAAAUUCAGGGAUUAGAAAUUGGGGAGAGGAAUGAAGGCUGCACAGCAUUUACUCUUCUUCAGCAAGUAACUGUUUACAAAAGAUAACUUUCUCCUCCAUUCUUUUCUGGCUACGAAUAUACAUGAAAACUGCCCAGUAGUGUUGAACGAUCAUAUCUGAGGUGAAAAGAAGAGAAGGAGAAUGGAGUUGUUAAAUCAAACCUUUUGCAGUUUUGGGCUAGAUCAUUUUUUGGAUACACACACACACAUACCUACACACACACACACACACACACACAUACAUACACACACACACACAGAUACAUACACACACAAACACACACACACACAAACACACACACACACAGCUCCCAUCAGGCAGCAAGAUCUCCAUGCCAAUAUUACGCACAUAGGAAUACUGUCAUACUAUGUAUAUACUUAUAACUGAAUGUGAAAAUGAGAAAAUUUGUUUCAACAUGAUGGUUGCCUGCAGGAUCACCAAAAAAAAAAAAAAAAUUCAAAGUGUAACUGAGAAGAAAUUUCAAAUUUGCUUUAAAAAAAAACCCUGUAUUCCAGCAUCAUAGUCUGCAAACCAAUACCAUCUUACGGAGAAAUUAACAAACAAUGCUGAUGGCUGAUUCCAUUUUACAAGGAGUUAUUAGCUGGGGACAAACAUGCAGAAGUGAGAAAUCAUUUUCAAAUAGAACAUCUAAAGGUUAAUUAAGUACAGAUUCAUAAACUCUAUGGCUCCAGAGGUACUAUGUUCUCUUACCAAAUCAAAAGGAGAACAAAAACAAAACUGGGAUUAACAAUGAAUUAUUCCUAGCUUUUUAUAGAAUCUCAGUAUACUGAACAAGUGUGAAGGAGGGAGUCAACUCAAAAGACUUUUACAUAAAGAUAUGGGUAUUUUCUCAUAAUUACACACAUCUAACAUUUUCAUUAAUACUUUACAAUGAUCUGAUUUUGUGGACAGUGAUGAAUAAGAUAUAUUUUGCUGUGAAGAGCUAAAAGGGACCUGGCUUCAGGACACUGGGCUUACAUUUACUGCCAGGGAAGAUAGAAUUUACCAAAUAGUACCCUUUUAUUUGGAACAAUACCCUGAAGAGCAUUUUACUGAAGGUGGGUGUUUAGUUCAGCCUGUAUCAUCACAGUAUCAAGUCUACUAAUGAUGGAAGUACACAGAUUAUUCCAGCAGCUGUAUUUUUUUUAAACUCCUGAUAAUUUAUCAAAUGUCCUGGAGCGGGAUGAAUCCAGUCCUACUAUACCACAAAGCACCCCAUAACAUGCUCAUGUAAACAAAUAUUCUCUGUGGAGUAUUCUAAGCUCUAGCUUUUCUCUCAGAAUGUAUGCCAGAGAAAAGUUACUUUUCCUCCUCAUAUAUGCUGUUCAGCAAAUAAAGAAAGAAAUGAAACGAAACCCAUUGUUAGUAAGGCCUGCAGUUGACAGCAUUUUCUAAUAGAGGUAGUGGAUUUUGAUGUAUCCAUCCAUUCCGUCUGGCUUGCUCUCGUGGGGAAGACACAUGUAUAAGAUAUCUCCCUGGGGUCAGGAGUGGCUAUGGACUAGAGAGACUCAGUGGAAUCAAACCCUUGACCUUGGCCUCAUUAGCAACAGGAUUAAACCAAUCGAACUAAUUGUAUACUGACAUUUCACACUAAAUCACCUACAGCUGAAGAGAUGACAGUCUGAGAGUGAUAAAAAGUGUAUCAUGAUACUCGUGAUAACAACUGUAAAGGAAGAAGCAAGGCCCAUGUCUGUCCUUUUGUACACUUCCCACAGAGUGCACUAUGCCAUCACUGAGUGAACAGGAAAGCAUCUACUCCGCUCAUCACAGUGCAGCAGGAGAAAAGACGUGAUGCUGAGCAAGAAGCUCCUGUGUGCGGGUUUUUUUUUUUUUCCAAAAGCAAUUUUGUUAUUUUUAGAAGUUUUAAGAAUUUACUUCCCUAAGUCAACUCACAACUGGUGAAUAUUAUGAUUAAUAAAACACUAGGAUAUCCUCACUAUAUUAAUUUUUAACUUUUCUCGUUUUCUUGAAAAUAGGCACACCAUGAAUGUUUCUGAAUUAAAGUUUCUAAAGAGUUUCUUUCAGAUGUACCUGUAUUCCCAAGUGACUGGUGGUGCUUUCUGAAAGUCAUGAAGGUGAAGCAAAGGGGUAGAUCAUUUAUGUAUUUAUUUCUUUACGUUCUGGGCAAUGGAGGGAAAUGAAGACAUCUCAGAAAUUAUUUUUCCUCUCUCUCAACCCCUUUUAGCAUUUGCCUUAGGGUUGCAUUUUUAAGUUUCUGAUUUGCAGAAAGAUGAGGCUGUUCAUUAGAAUAGUCAAAUAUAUCGACUUCUUAUAAGAAAGAAUCACAAAGUAGCUAUUUUUUGCAACUUUGAACUCCAGAGAAAAGUUACACUAUGUCAUUAAGUAAACUUGAGAAGGUGAAAAUAUUAAAAAUUUGCUUUGAGAGCAAUUUCUGAAAGAUAAUUGUUCUAGAAUUGUAAAGAGCCUUCUGUGUUGGGGCAAGGGCUGAGGGGAGGAUUACCAUCUUCUCUAUCUAUCAUACUUCAGAAAAUGGUCAACUGUGUGCCAAGGAUCAGUCUGGCUAACAAAUUGAUUAACAUAAAUUAACACAAAGAAUGUGUUAUUACAACUCACUUUUGCGACAAGUAUUCAGGAUGAUUAUUAGCAUUUGACAGAGGCAGGAGAAGCCCCCCCCUGCUUGUUGCUACAGCCUGUAGCCUGUCCCUGGGAAGCACCCUUGCUGCUCUCUCUACCACUGGAGUAGAGCUUUCAUCUGGUUAUCUUUCAAGGCAGCCUGGGUGGCCACCAAAAGCACUUGACAUCUUGAUGCACUUCAGCAGUUUUACAUAUAUACAAACUUUGUAGAAAAAUAAAUUUGUCAUUCGUCACCACAUAUGUUGAUCUGGGGAGCGAGGUGCUUGCAGUUCUGGCUCCUGAGCUGUUUGCUACACUCUUUCUUCUGCUGGAUAUUGCUUUUUGUUGUUUGUUUUGGAAGCUAAAAUAACUUCACAUAGAUGGAGACUUUCUGGGUGAGUCUUUAAAUACAGCAUAGUUGUAUUUAUCUCCAGUAGAUAAAGGUAGAGGAAAAUGGGAAGUGUCGGUGUUCUUUUCAACUUACAUUGGUAGAGACAAACCUUCAAGACUUGAAAUUUGCAGCAAACCUUUAUGGUACCUAAUCUGUUAUCGCUUCUCGGCAGGCCUUCUAUGCAACCGUGACCUAUUCUACUUUGCUUUUGGGGAACGUGAUAAAGAGGAAGAAACAGCUGGUUUAGGAAAAGCCUUACAAACAUGGUUGUGGUUUAUAAAGACAAUAAUAAUAUUUUCACAUGAAUGGGUUUAGAUACAUGUUAUGGUACACCAAAGGAAGCAAGCAAUCCUAGUCAAAAUGUUUUCUUAGGUUAUUGGAAGAGCUCUAUAAAAAAAAAAUCCACACUUUUCUGGGUCAGAGAAAAAUGUAAAAUAUGCAUAGCAGUUAAAAAGUUCUCCAAGGGCAUCCUACAGUUCUUAAAGCUUGUCUUUUCCUUCAAUGCCAUUUAGUUUUAUAAACUGUUAGCUUCAGUAGAUUUGUUUGUGUGUGACUUUGCUUAACUAAACAGAAUCUGUGUCGUUAAAUUCUUUUGUAUCUCUAUGUUGAUUCUUCCAACUAAAGCAGUAACAACCAAAGUUUAUAAACUUUUGAUGGUAAAAUUAAUCCAUGUCCAAGAAUCUAUAUGUUUAUUAGGGUCCAAAAUAUGGUAGUGAGCAGGUAUAUUCGUGACACUGUCAACCUAAGAACUUCUUAAUCUAUUCUAUCACUUCCUCACUGCACAACUUUGGUUAAGGCAUUUAACUUCUCCUCAGGCUCAGUUAUCGUCAUCUGUCAAAUGGGGAUGACUCCACUUUUCCUACCUGCAGCAUUGAGUUUUUGAAGAGCAAAUUAGUCAUUACAUGUAAAGGUGCUUUGUAAGGUGUUACUUUUCUUGGAUUUCUAGUGAUACUUUAAUUAAGGGAAUACUACCUUAAAAGUCCAUGGACAAUCUGCACUUGCAUAUCAGCUAUGUAGAAGAGGAGGCUGUCUUGAUAUGGAUGCUAAUGGAUGAAGAAGACACCAACAAGAAACUUGUACUGAUAAUCCAAUGUGUGUAGAUUACCAACUGUAGUGUUGAUUUAACAAGAACUGUAAAACAUCCCAUCAAAACCAACAUACUGUGUGCAGACUGAAAUGAUAGUAAUCCUUUUAGCAGCAAUGGAAGGUUACAAAUUUGUAAAGGUUAAUUGUGAGGCAAAAGUAGGUAUUUUGGAAGGUGAAAUAAAUUUUACACUCUCAGAAGCAAACAUUUAAGAUCAGAUAUCUUGUGAGGAUAUGCUGCAGUAGUUUAUUUAAUUUAUCAAAUUUUUUUUUUUUUUUUUUUUACCUGGAAUAUGGCCUCGGCAAGUAUAAAAGAAUUCUUUGCAAUAGUCUUUGCAGAGCAGGGGAAGUACAAGGUCUCUUUCCAAGGCUUCUCUUUCAGGUGAGUUGAACAGGCUCUGAGAAUGUGGAGAGCAAAGUGCACACUUGAUUUCCUCCAGUAACUUCCCACAUUCUGUGUUGUUGGUAACAGAAAAUAUCUGAAAGCCAUAAAUCAGAAACAAACUUCCUUUUAUUCAUGUGAAGCUAGGUCUAGUUAUGUUUUUUGUAAUCAUAUAAGUAGAAUAGUAUAACUUAGCCAGUGCAGUUGUCUGAAAAGAAUUAUCAUAUCAGAAACACGGGAUGCUUUUAAUAAGGCUAGAAGUACAGUCUCUUGGGCUGGGCUGGGGGAGCGGAGGGUAAGGAUGCACAAAAGUCCUUCUUACUCUUGCAGAUCAAAGCCUGUUUAUCUUUUGGGUAUGAAAAAUUAAAUGACACCUAUAUUGAGACCCUUUAACCCUUUACCAUGUUACUCUGCAUCAGAGUGCAUAGCGAUAUUUGCAUAGUGCAUAGUGAUAUUUGACUUUAAAAUUCUAAAUACCUUUAUCCAACUGUAUGUAAAGUAGAAUUUUUUAAGAUAUGAUCAUUUCUGUCUUAGGUAAAAAUGUAUUUCACUCUUGAAAUUCGUGAUAGGAUAUUCUCAAAGAUACUACUUUAAUUACAUUUUUCUAGUUUCAGUUCAUUUUCAAUCUACAGGUUGCAUCGGGAAAGUUUCCUAAAGUGGGGGGAAUAUUGCCUUUUCAUGUUGUAGAAAAAUAAUAUCUGAAGCUGAAACUGGUUUCAGACCAAUUUUUAUUAUUCAUUUUAUCUUAGCCAGGAAAAACUUUCUAACCAGCUCCUCAGGUAUGUUAUAUGUGUGAAUAAACACAGGAGUUUAAUAAAAGUGCUUUUGUAUAGGAUUGAGUGAGUUUUAAUAAAAAAAAAUACUUUUAUCUUUAUUUAUACAGUAUUAUGUCUUUUUUUUUCAAUAAGACCAAUUUGGGAGUUACUGAUUCACUGAAGUUAGUAAUUUGUAGAUAAAAUAGGUCUUGGUGUCCAGUACUAACUUUAAAAAACUGACUUCAGGAGCUCCUCUAAUAAAUAUAGAAGACAAUACCAGCACAAUAUUUGAGACGUAAAAUGUAGUGCUGUCUAAAUCAUUCAUUGAUUUUUCAUAAUAAAAAACACAAUAAUGGGAAUGAAUUUUAUACCUUUUCUCAGUUUAUAUAACUAAAUUUAUACUUAACUAUUUAGAACUAGGAACUGAAAAUAACAUUUGAAACUCUAAAUCAUUGUUCAAAGCAAAUACUUCAUUCAUGAGUUGAGGUUCUAAUUUGAGUAAAUGGCAUGGCUUCUAUUUUUUAGGAUAAAGAUAUUCUAGGUGAUAACAAAAUUUGGACCUGAAAGAACAAAGCAGCUAAAAAAAAAAAAAUCACUGAAUACAAGCAUGCUGAAAUUUUAGCAUGCAGUAAUUAAAAGCUCUAUAGAAGUUACCAUAUAUAUAUAUACGUACCUAUAUAUAGAUAUAGAUAUAGAUAUAGAUACACACACACUCUGUGUUGUCACUACCUAUAACAUUCAGAAGAGUUAUUAUUAAUCACAGUUAUAUUUACACGUUGAUUUUUAUCAAUUUAUUUAAAUGACAAUUGCUUAAAUGGUUAAAUUUUCUAAAAGGAAACAUAUGCCAGACACUUAGAAUUUGCAUUCCAAGAAUGUUUUAAAUGUCUUUUAUUGUCCAUACUCUGGCAGACCUCACCAGAUCUAUUCAAUAUUAAUACUGUUCAACUUUGUUCUGUUUGUUUAUCGUACAGCAGUCCCCUAAGAACAAAACAACUGCAGGAUGCUGAAGCCACCUUUUUUGCUGGCUGGAAAACUGGAAUGUAAUUACCUUUAGUUUUAUGGAGAAUAUGCAUACUUCCAUUUUUUAUAGCUGAAACAAACUGAUCCCCAUGUACUCUCCCAGCUGCUAUCCAGGAAGAGCCUGAUUUUAGUGCCUAAAGAAUUUUGUCUUUUACAAUUUUUGGAAUGUGUCCUGGCCACAAGAUCUCUCAUCAAAAGUUUCAGAAAUAGGAUUCAAUAAAUUAUCUGAAAUCGAGUAUAAUAUUAUUCUUUGUAAAGUUUCACGCUGUUCCGGCCCAGCAGGAUGGUAACAUUUUGCUCUGUGUGAGGUCUGCAGUGUAAAUACCUAUUUGAAGAUAGAUAGAGCCAUCAUUCUGGCUUUGGUUUCAAUGAACCAAUAGUCUUACUGAAGUCAAUUAAACUGACUCAGCCCAAGCUGCAACACUGUUUUAGACAGAUGAGUACUGGUGUGUGUAGGGUAUUUUUUUCUUCCUUUUUGCCUAUGUGCUUGUGUCUAUAUAGGUCCUUAACUUUAUGCCUGACAAUGUCAUCCAUCUGAAGAAGAAAUUUAAGCUAAUUUCCUGUUUCGAUUUUUAAAAGCCAUAUAUGAAACCAUCAAAUUAUAGUGGUUUAAACUAAAUAUACUUUGAAAGUCAUGUAAAACUUCGAGACAUUAUUACAGCAUGCCUAGUAAUGAUCGUGGCUGUUGCUGACUAAUUUAUAACAUCUGGAAGGUCAUCCUUUAAUCUUUGGCCACAAGAAAGUAAAAUCCACGGAAGAAAGGUAAGAUGAACACCGUAGUACACACAGUGAAGUGUGGCCCAGAACUAUAGCUUAUCAACAAAUAGUAAAAUGGGUGACAGAGACCUUCUGUAUUUCUCUUUAUUUAUCAAGUAACUAAACAAAGAGGAUAAAAAGGCACCCACGUGGUUUUGAUGAGCAGACAACAGGAGAAAUACAUGACAGCAUAUUAAGAUGUCGCCUUAAGAUCAGUGGGUACACAAAAAGUUAUUUCUAAAAAUCAUAUGCCUACAAGGCUGUUCAGCUGUUGGGUGGAACACAUGCGUCUCGGCACUAUAGUGCUGGAUUAUGUCAUUAAAGAGUUCAGUUUCAAUUUUAGGCUAAUAUGUAAAUAGAUCAUUGUACUCAGGCAGCUGUUAAAGGGACCCCAGGAUGAGUUAUUUGUUUAGUUGGAUGUGUUCAACAAUAGCCUUUGUCCCUGAAAGAGCCAGAGCAAACAAAUGAUUGUAAAAGGGCACACUUGAAAACAAUUACUUUUCACCCAUUCCUUGACAGCUUUGGCUGUGAAACCACCCAAGGUAGAGAGAGCUUCUAUGCCUCUGUGGCUACAAGUUUUAGAAAUGGGGGUAUUUCAGUUGGCUGCGGAUUCAAUUUGGCUAAUGGGAAUGAGGUCCUUUUAGCAUGUUGUAUUUAGGAACUACAAAAAUAUUGCCAAGACAAUAGAACUUCCUAAAUUUUGGCAGUAUUUGUUUAUAAUGGCAGUUAACAAUCUUGUUACAAUACACAAAAUUAUUAAAAUGUACAAAAAAUUAAAACAUAAAAGCAUAAUACCAUUAUGAAAAAUUGAACUCAAUGCCAGUUCAUUACAUUAAAGAAUUGAACUCAAUGCCAGUUCAUUACAGUAAAGAAAACGUGUUAGUUUGGAGUCUGGAUUUAACUGCACAGCUGAGCAUGCUCAAAUAUUCCUACCUAUUUUGCUACUGUCUAUGAAGUUUCUUCCUAUAGGAGAAAGAUGUGCCUGUAGUUUCUUGAAAAGUUGCAGAAAUCUUUCUGGAGAUUUUUUUUUUUUCCAUAAACAAAAACGGGCCCUUUCAAACAGCCAUCAUCUCUCCUGUACACACGUUAUGAAAUAAGACCCUAACAUAUAUUAUAAGCCAGGAAGGCUUAGGGGAAAACAAGGAAACACUGAAGUUUAUUAUAAAAUAACAUGUUUUAAAAACUAUUAAAACUUGAGAGCUAACAUAGGUCAAGAAUGCACAUGCAUAGCUAUAUCACUUCUCUGUUUUGAACAAUUUGAGUAUUGUUGGUUUAUAAAGCACUUGUAAUGGAACUAGCAAAGUCUAGUGUACCGAAUUUAAUUCAGACACAUUUUCCAAAUGAGUAGGGGUUUGUUGGAGAUUGGAAGCACGUAAAACGGAAAGGAAUGUGGAUAGCUAACGUGGCAGAUUUCUUCCUAAAGAAUGAUUUCUUAAAAAAAAAAAUUUUUUUAUAUAACUCCUCUUAAGGGCUAUAACUCCCCUCAGUUCUGCCCCCCGCCCCUCCAACUCCCCACUCUAUUCAGUUAAAGUUUUCAUUCCUCAUGUUCCUGGUAGAGUUCAGCAUUGCAGGGGUCUGGAGAUCACUGGUGUAGUCAUAGUGUACAUUGCACACAGGGAGACUUAAUGGCAGAUAUUUCUAAACCUUUCUCUGAAGCUCCUGGUAAAACCCUGCAGAUGAUGUGAAUGUAGCUUUUCUGAUUUAAUUCAAUUACCACACAGGAGCUUAAUGACAUUGUUUUGAAUAAAAUGCUGGAAUAUCUGUUCCCUGAAUCGCAGACUACUGCUGCAUAUGGUAAGAAUAAAGAGAGAGUUGCAGCUGAAAACCUGCAGCAAGAUGGUUCUCACUCAUCUGGGAAUAGAGGGAGUUGGACAAAUGCUCCCUCAAAAGGCAUGAACAUUUGGACAGAGCUGGGGACUGAAAGAGAAUGAUGUUCUCUAGUUUCACCCAUUAGUGAACCAACUAACAAACACAAUGGUGUUGUUGUUAUUCUUUUGCCAUAAGCAACAGGACUCUGUGUGUGGGCAGCAGUUUAGUGGGGAGGAGGAUAAGUCGACCCCUUUUUGUCCUAUUGAUUUUUUCCUAUUUGCAUGACUUGAGCAAAUUAAAUGAUGCAAUAUGGCUUUUUGUUACAAAACAAAGUGAGAGAUACCACCCAGACACAUAUGUUGAUUCGUAGGAGCUGUUUACAUGAGAAUAGAGUGAAAUCUACCGUGAACUGAGCAUAAAAAUUAGAUUCAGCCUGGGUAUUUUUUUUUUUUUUUAAUGCCUGGGCCAGCAAGACUGAAGCACAAGUUUUCCAAGAGUCUCUCAGACCUUGACAACUGCAGUGUUGUAACAGAGGAAUUCUUAAUUAAACCUAAAAUGGGGAACGGGAGGGGGAGCGAAGACACCUGAUUGUUUAUUUCACGUGCAGUGAUUGUUAAUGACGGGAUCCCCCCUUCCCUUUUGCAGUACAGUAGAUAGCCCACGUUGCUGCGUCCCAUGACAAGAAAGAUGUUGGAAACUCAAAAAAAUAAGUUUGCCUUCACACUCAAUCGACACUAUCUCAUAUUCGUUUAAACUCAAGAACACAAGGGAAGUGUAAAUGCCAUUAGUCCUAAAACAAGUUUCUAGAGAAGAUCUUCCUGGACAACUAACUGCCAUUUGAAAGCCUGAAUUUACAAUGUUUCAAAACAUUACAAACUGGGGCGGAGAACGGUCUCGGUUUUAGGUGACAAAUACGCCCCAGCAAAAUCUCUGGCCAGCUUUUCGGGUUCUCAACUGGAGUACCAGGAGUUCCUUUUCGCAGCUUAACUAUUGUAAUGCAAGACAACCCCCUCUGACGGGGCUGGGGAUCAUAAACCAACCAUGCUUCAACAUCCUUUACGAUUCAAUCCUCUCCCUCACCGAGCACGUGGAGAAAACUGCACAAAUCUUGUUACCCUAGAAAAAUAAACCGGAAACCACAGCCACCUUAAUUUACAGUUUCACCGCAGCCAAUGCCCGAUUCGACCCAAAACACACUGUUAAUCGCGAUUCUUUUAAAAUAUUUACCCAGCCCAGAAUGCGGGUACCACAGAAGCUUCUCUUUUCUGACACAGGCAGUUGUGCACAGCAUCCCGACCACGGACUCGUGGGGGCGGGAGAGCUAUCUGCGCACCCCAGAAGAACGCACCACCGAAUCACGCUAGCACUUCAGCCAAAGUUAUCAGACAGAACUCUCCAAACAAGUUUUCUCCCUUCUCACGGCCACUAGCAGUCCUGGAGCCCCAGGGAGCCCCCACCUAGCCAGCAUGUCACUCUCGCAUCUGUGAGGCGGGUGCGUGCUUACCUUGUUAUCCAGGCGCCCCAACCCUGGGCUGUCACUCCGCAGACAGCAGGACAGCCGAGGGUAGAAGCCACCGCACAGCAUCUCUCCCCCACUCAGCAGCUCCAGCUGGGACAUCAUCCGCCUAUCUCUCCUUUUCAGGCGCUUCGGGGGGUUCCCAUUCAGGCACCUUCUCCUCCGCGCUCCGCUCCCUUCGAUUCUUUCCCCAAACUUAGCAUCUCCCUCAAAGAAGCCCAGAGCCACGGCCAGGAGCAGCAGCUUAAAGGAGAGCAUCUUCAGCAUCGUCUGCCCCGAGCGGCAGGGGCUCGGCGCGGGAGGCUGGGGGGGGAACGCCACUGCCCACCAGGGGCACUAGGGCGCAGCUCCAGGAGGAGGCUGCGGGGGACACUCGAGAGGCAGAGAGUGGUGCCGGGGGCGGAAAUAUGUAAAGCGAUGCAACUUUGCGAAAAAUAAAAGACAAGGCGAUGGGUCCAGUGCCUUAGGGGAGUCCGAGGACCGAGACAGGGUUGUGCAGAUGACACCGUUUGCAGUUGUGCCAGGGUCAGUUGGGUUAGGGGCUUCCUGCUGCGGCUGGGAAGUGGGAGGAGGAGAAAGAGUUGGAAGAGGAGGAGGAAGAAGAGGAGGAGAAGACGGCCACAGAGGUUCACUUGUCCGUGUAACGGGAGUUGUUUAGGUGAGACAGUAGCAGGAACAGAAAAGGCGGCGGCGGCGGCGGCGGGGCAGACGCAGGCAGGGCCAGCGCUGGGCUCUAGAUGAUGCUGAGGUCUCCUCUGCCGGCGGCUGCAGCUUCUCACACAGCCUCUCAUGUUUCGCUCCCUCUUUUCUUCUUCUUUUUAACUAGCGCGCGGGGAGGUGCUGCCACCGCGCGCCCCUUGACGUCACCGCUCCUCGCGCGCCCCCGCCCGGGCCGAGGUGGGGGUGGAGGGGAGGGGGCGGCCCCGGCGCGAGCGCGUCCCCCGGGCCCGACGGCCUCGCGGCUGCGGCGGGGAGGGGCCACAGGCCGCGGCGGCGGACGGAGGGGGAGGGCCUGGAGGAGCCCUCGGAGCCAGCCUCGAAGGCGCGGGACGGAGCGCGCCCGCCUCGCCAGGGCGCCCGGCUGGGGGCGUCCCUGGCCCCGGCCCGCGGGCGCGCAGAGAUGGCCGGCUGGUUCCCCUCUCUUCCCCACAGCCCCUCCGCACUACCCCUGGCUAAAGGCGGCCCGGCCGAGGCUCCGAGAGCAAGUGAGUAAAAAAGGGGCGUCUUCUAGCCCCCCCCCGCCCCCGCAAACUAGGCCGGGGAGUGGGGGCGGAAUGAACCGAGUGGGCUGGAGUUGGCGGGAGGGAGCUUUUCGUCCCUUUCCCUCUCCUGGCCGCACGGCCUCCCCCUGCUCGCCGGUGACUUGCAACGCGAAGCUCAAGUCGAUAAAGAUCUUCCUUGGGGUCUGAUUUAGAGGCCGGGGUACAACCCAGAUCCUGCGAGCCGCCGAGUAGGUUAAGGUGGUCCGAAGACUGUUCGAGAAGAAGUAUCCAUCCUUGCUUAAGGUGCCGCGCCCUGCUGAGGUGACACAAGUGCGUCUGCAUGCAUGCGGUGGGGUGUCGGGGCCCCCAGUCCUGCGGGCAGGGCCCGGACGCCCCUUCCGAGGUCCGACCUGUGCCCUGGAACCCAGUUGGACCCCGCCCGCACCUUCCCGGAACGCCAGAGCGCACCCCUCCUCAGGUGGAGGACAGAGGAAGUUGGCCGCAGAAUCAGCGUUCAUUUUAAAUGAAAAAAAAAAAAAAAAAAAAAUCCUGGGGAGAUUUCCCAGGUGGUGUAAAUACAGAGGCUACCGAAGCAUUAGUUCUGGAGGAAGAAUUCGUAGCAGGUUUGCGGGAGUCCCGAAGCGGGAUGCCCUAUGAACCCGAUGUACCUAGAUAAUAACCUUUCCCCCAGCUAGUCGAAGUCUGUGUACAAGUGUUUCGAAAAAGAUCUGUACCUCUUCAAGAGUGGUGACCUGACGCUUACGCGAAGCCCGCAAUUUGGCGUGAGGGUGAGCCGAUGCAGGGUUGCACACAAAAUGUGCCUUGUGCCCAUUGGAGUAAGAGGGUGGCAGACUUUCUGGUAGAUGGGAUUUUGAAGAAGAGAUAAGGCAGUUUUCCCAUUUGGGCGAUGGAAGAAUGUUCCCCAUAUUUGGAUUUGCUUCACUUCUAGUACAUAAGCUUCGCCAAACUAACGUGAAAGUCGACGAUGGUGGAAGUGGACAGGGGAUUAAGCUAAUUGCUGUUAAAGUGACCUCAGUGGCCAGAUAGGGCUUCUGCCCCUUUCAGUUUCUGGACCUGGAUUUACUGGUGGAGGUAGGUUUUUCUCCCCGGAGAGGUGACCGCUUCAAAUACCUGAAAAAAAUCUGCUGCGAUAUUUGGUCCGGUACUCAGCUCAGUGUAGGUCUGGGAUGGUAUCCUUAACAUUUCUCCCAGGGCCUGUUGUAUGUACAUGAGUUCUUUCUAUGUGUGAUCACAAAUGCUACUUCUGAUCCCACAGACUGCUUUAUCUGACAUGCUUCCUACAUCAAGGACUUUUAAUAUAAAAUAAAUCAUAGAACUAUAAGGACUUAAGACUUUAAACUCUCAUUUAAUAAACAGGAGAAAACAGACAUUCCAUCAAGAUUGAAUCAUCAUCUUACAAUCUCAUCUAACUAGGUAGCUUAAAAAAACAGGAUUUAGGGGCCCAAUCUAGGUUGGUUUCCACUAUCCAAUCCUUUACUCCCAAAUAACCAGUUUUAUGUUCUAUUUCCAAAACAAAACAAAAAAAAAAACCUUUUAAAAUUAUAUUUCAGUGGCUUGAGCUCCGACUCCAAGUGAUGAAUUCAUCUUAGUAGUUUUGGAACAGGCCUUCCUUAUGGUUUGUACUUCAAGACUAAGGACACUUAAAAGGUAAAUUAAUUUUGGUAAAAAAAAUUAUGUGGCUGUUAUAAUCUGUGACCCUGUGUUUUAAGAAAUAGUUUAUAAAAGAUUACUGAAAUGAGACACACAUUUUCUUUCUUGUUACAUGGGAGCUAGAAUUGAUCCCAUGUAUUGUUAGUCAUGACGAGUCAAUAAAUCGGGUCACUGAUGAUAUAACUCAGCUUAUUUAUUCUCAGUGUCACUGGUAUAGUCACUAAGCAGUUUUAUACAAGUAAAGUCACUUCUGAUACUUUUUUUUUUCUUCCGCAGAGGGAAGUUGCAUAGUUCACCUGUAGCCAACUUGACAGCAUAAUUUUUAGGAGUCAAGAAUCGACAUUGGGUUAUUUCUUAAGAUUGAGCCUUGAAAGUCCACUUGGAUGUGACGCAGCUCUGUGCACACUUGCACGUGAAAAUGAUCUUCCAUCAAGGAGCUCUCCCUCUUCAGCUAAAUCAACAGCAGUCGUUCAAAGAAGAAGGGACCCCCUAUCUGACCAAACUCAGCCAGACUAAUCAAAUAAGUCUUUGUGAGCAAGGAAUAAAGCUGCACUAGGGUGGCCCCAUCACACCUUUCUUGAGCAGCUCCCUCUAAGAUUGCCACCUACAUGCA
rnacentral:lncRNA from 1 species